CCUACGGGAGGCAGCAGUGAGGAAUAUUGGUCAAUGGACGAGAGUCUGAACCAGCCAAGUAGCGUGAAGGAUGACUGCCCUAUGGGUUGUAAACUUCUUUUAUAUGGGAAUAAAAUGUUCCACGUGUGGGAUUUUGUAUGUACCAUAUGAAUAAGGAUCGGCUAACUCCGUGCCAGCAGCCGCGGUAAUACGGAGGAUCCGAGCGUUAUCCGGAUUUAUUGGGUUUAAAGGGAGCGUAGGUGGAUUGUUAAGUCAGUUGUGAAAGUUUGCGGCUCAACCGUAAAAUUGCAGUUGAAACUGGCAGUCUUGAGUACAGUAGAGGUGGGCGGAAGUCGUGGUGUAGCGGUGAAAUGCUUAGAUAUCACGAAGAACUCCGAUUGCGAAGGCAGUUCACUGGACUGCAACUGACACUGAGGCUCGAAAGUGUGGGUAUCAAACAGGAGUAGAUACCCGAGUAGUC
rnacentral:rRNA from 1 species